rnacentral:rRNA from 1 species
AUUGAACGCUGGCGGCAUGCUUUACACAUGCAAGUCGAACGGUAACAGGCCGCAAGGUGCUGACGAGUGGCGAACGGGUGAGUAAUGCAUCGGAACGUGCCCAGUCGUGGGGGAUAACUACUCGAAAGAGUAGCUAAUACCGCAUACGAUCUAUGGAUGAAAGCGGGGGACCGUAAGGCCUCGCGCGAUUGGAGCGGCCGAUGUCAGAUUAGGUAGUUGGUGGGGUAAAGGCUCACCAAGCCAACGAUCUGUAGCUGGUCUGAGAGGACGACCAGCCACACGGGGACAGAGAAACGGCCAAGCCUCCAAGGGGAGGAAGCGGGGGGGAUUUUGGGAGAAGGGGCGCAGGCCGAACCCAGAAAUGCCGCGUGAAGGAAGAGGGCUUUGGGUUUGAAAAGUGCUUUUGUCGGGAAAGAAACGGCUCGGUUUAAUACCGGGGGCUAAGGCGGGCACAGAAAAAAAAAGCCCCGGCAAACUACGUG